AAAGCCAAGGCAAAAGUCUUUAUCCUUCCCAAAGAGGACAACAGCUGUGGCAUUCAUCACUGGGUGGCCUCUUUCCACACAGAGGAGAAUUAGGAGACAGAAGGAGGUGAAUGAUGAGAAGGCAGGUUUGCAAGCUGAGUGGAAUUGCAGUUUGAACGUGGCUGAUAUCCAUGGUGAGCAACUGGCUGGUGUCUGGUGGUGGACCUGAUGGAAGCUGGCAGAUGUUGGUGGGUGGAAGCAGGAGGAGUUUACAUUUGGAUGCUGGCAAAUGCCGCAAGGCUGGAGCAGGCUGGUAUUUAUGAAUGUAAGCUGGUUGAAAUUCCCUUCUGGAAGCCCAUUGAUGGAAGCUGUAUGGAUAUUUGUGGACUGAAGCUGGGGCUUGUUUGUGCCUGAAUGGAGAGUGGCUGAUGAUUGAACAUGCCUGUGUGAUAUGCCAACUCUAUGAUCCCUGGUAGGCACCCCCUCAUAAGCGAUGGAUUUUGACCAAUGCCUUUCACCAUCACAUGAGUUGCAGUGUCACUGCUGACACACCACCAAACUUAAUAUGAUUACAGGCAACUGACUAGACCAGACUUCGCCCUCCAGCUGUUUUGGGACUACAACUCCCAUCACCCCUAGCUAAGAGGACCAGUGGUCAGAAAUGAUGGGAAUUGUACUCCCAAAACAGCUGGAGUGUCAAGUUUGGCCAUGCCUGGAGACUAUGCUGGAUAUUAGAUUACCAUAUGUGAGGUCCCUGCAAACUGGUGGAGGGCAAAUGUUGCCGCUGUUUUCAAAAAGUGGGUGGGGGAAGACCCUAGUAACUACUGACUGGAAAGGUAAUAGGACAGAUAAUUAAACAGUCUGUGAGCUCUUAGGAAAGGAUGCUGUGAUUACUAAGACCCAGCAGAAGAGGGCAGCCAAGAAGAUCAAGGGUCUGGAAACCAAGUUUUAUGAAGAGCGAUUGGUUAUGUUUAGCCUGGAAAAGAGGAGACUGAGAAGAGAUGGGACAGCCAUCUUCAAAUAUUUAAAAGAGCUGUCACAUGGAAGAUGGAGCAAGCUUGUUUUCUCCUGCUCUGGAAUGUAGUACUUGGACCAAUGGCUUCAAGUUACAAGAAACUAGAUUUCUAGAACAUUCUAGAAAUGGAGAAUCAACAAGAUCAAUUAAAAGAGGAGUGGGAAAAGGAGACAACAGGGAAGAUAAAUAGCCAAAGCUGGGGUGGGGGUGGGGAUAUGGGAGAAACACACUCUGAGAAUGUUGUCUAUAAGGAUAAAAGAAAAUUACUACAAGUUAGUAUGGAGUUCCGUGUGCUGCGCUGGCUCGCCAGAUGCAGCUUGUCACGCUGGCCACGUGACCCAGAAGUGUCUGCGGACAGCGCUGGCUCCCGGCCUAUAGAGUGAGAUGAGCGCACAACCCUAGAGUCUGUCAAGACUGGCCCAUACGGGCAGGGGUACCUUUACCUUUUAGUAUGGAGAUGGCACUUAACACCAGUAAGAUUAAAUCAAAUAAACAAGGAAUAUUUGGAGUUAUGUUGGAGGGGAUGCCAGGAAACCGGUACUUAUUUUCACAUGUGGUUGGGGUGUAAAUGCAUACAAACUUUUUGGCAAAGGGUGUUUAAGGAGAUAACAGAAAUCACAGGGUUAAAGUUGACUGAAAGUCCAGAGGUAGCAUUGUUAUCAAUAUAUGAUGGACUGGAAGGGUCACAGGCUAUGAAGGACUUGCUCACAAAUUUAUUGACAGCUGCACAAGUUAUUAUAGCUAGGAAGUGGAAGGGGCAAGGUGAAUAUAAAAUGGAAGAAUGGUAUAAAGAGGUGUGGGAUAUAACUAUGAAUGAUAAAUUAACAUGUGUCAUUAAGGUAAGAAGGGGAAUAUGCAGGAGAAAUGAUCCUGAGGAGAUAUGGAAGGUGUUUGUAGAAUUUGUACUGUUAAAAAGGAAAGGGGUCAAACCAUCGCAAGAGGUGUUGAAAUUUUGGGAGGCUGCAUAAUGGAAUGGUCUCGGGGGUGGGGUGCACAUUAUUAUUAUUAUCACUUUGUUUAAAAUAAUAAAUAAGAAGAAGAAAAUACAAUAAAAAAAUUAAAAAGGAAAAGAACAUUCUGACAGUAUACAGUAUAAAUGCUGGAAAUGUAAGGAAAUGUAAGGAAAAAGAAGGAACCUUUUACCACAUGUGGUAAAAGACUUCUGGGAAAUGAUUUAUAAUGAACUGAAAAAAGUGUUGAAAAAUACAUUUAUUAAGAAACCAGAAGCCGUUUUACUUGGUAUAGUGGGGGGUAAAAUCCCCAAAAAGGAUGUUACUUUUUUCUGUAUGCCACAACAGCUGUGAGAAUCUUAUUAGCGAAGAAUUGGAAGAAACAAGAUUUACCAACUAUCAAAGAAUGGCAGAUGAAGAUGAUGGACUAUAUGGAACUUGCCAAACUGACUGGGAGACUCUGAGACCAGAGAGAAGAGACGGUGGAAGAAGAUUGGAAGAAAUUUAAAGAAUAUUUGAAAAAAUAUGUUAAUAUUUAAAUCUUAGAAGAGCUUUGGAAGUGGAUAUAGGCUGUAGGGUUAGAAGUAGAAGACAGUGUAUUUUAAAAUAGUAUUGUAAGUGAAAAUAUGAAGAUUUUUAUGGUAAAAGUAAGUGUGAUUUUAAAAAAUGGUUAAAAAUUAUGAUAUAUGUAAACUGCUAAAAAUGAGAGAAAAUGAAAAUCAGAUAGGGGGGACUUGGGGAAGCUCACCUAACAAUGUUUAGAAAAAAUAAGGACAAGGCAAGAAUUUGUUUGUAUUGUUUGUUUUUUUCUGUUUUUGUUGUUUAUUUCUGUUAUAAAAUGAAUAAAAAAUUUGAGGGGGGGGGAGAGCAGUUUGACCGUGGAAUGGACUCUGGCAGAUGGUGGACUCUCCUUUCUUGGAGCUUUCUAAGCAAAGGUUGGAUGGCCAUCUGUCAAUGAUGUUUUAGUUGAGAUUCCUUCUUGGCUGGGGGUUGGAUAAGAUGAGCCUUGGGGUCACUUCCAACACUAAGAUUCUAUGAUUCUAUGUUAUUCGCCACUCAGAAGAGAGGAACACUGUCGGGCCUAAAAAUAUCUUGGUGGUAAUUAACUAUGGCAGGGUGCCAAAUCACUCAACCUUCCUGUGCCUCCUUGAAGCAAUGCAAGACUUUGUUCCCUUUCCUCCAGGCUUUGGAAAAAAUAUGCUCAAACACACAGUCGUGUGUGUUUUAUAUGACACCCACAAGUCAAAUAAAUUUAUAAAUUACACAGACACACACAAACACACACACACCAGCUUUCUAGGUCAGCUGUUAUAAUCUUGCUGCAAAGCAAGGAUUCUUGGAUAUGUGAAACUUUUCAGAAUUGAUCCAACCUUAACUUGACUUUCAUUUAUCCAGUUGAAAACAUUCUGGCUUUGUCUUCAUUUUCGGAAUCAGUGAAAAUGAAUUGUGUUAUUUUGAAAACAAAGGGCUUCCAUGACAAACACUACCUCGGUAUAUAACAGUCUUGUAAACAAGACAGAAGUCAGCCCAGGGACUGAAACUGCUGAAGAAUGUUGAAAUUUGGUAGAGAAUAGCUCUCAUCAGCCAGGGAUUUUGAACAUUCAAAUGAGAGCUGAUUUUGAGAGGAUAAAAUUACAGUCUUUUUAAAAUAGUCUACACUUAGGGCAUAAGAGCACACCAUUUACAACUCUGAGAGCCUUUUAGAUUUCAUGAAUGGGUGAACUUGCAAUUCAGUUCUAAACGUUUGUACCGAAACAUCUGCCAGCCAAAGCAGCAAAAUGUUGCGUUUUGCGGCAAUGCAAUGGUGUGCAUAUCAGGCAAUAUGCACAAAGUGUGGACAAACACCCAGUCUUAUCCUUGGAGCUCACCUUGGAAAACAACAGCAGAGGCAGAUGCAGUGGUACAAGCCAGGAUCCGGCCCCCAACAAUGUGAUUCUUUGUUGCAUCUGGCAUUGCAGAUCCUGCAUUGUUCUAUGGGUUAACUAGAUAACUUCCAUGCUCCCAUCCAGCUCUAUGAUUCUAUAAUU
rnacentral:lncRNA from 1 species